GCUCUAGUAGCUUAGCGUCAAAAGCACCGGUUUUGUAAUCCGGCGACCGGAGGUUAAAAUCCUCCCUAGCGCC
rnacentral:tRNA from 1 species